rnacentral:rRNA from 1 species
UGCAGAUCUUGGUGGUAGUAGCAAUUAUUCAAAUGAGAAUUUUGAAGGCCGAAGUGGAGAAGGUUUCCGUGAGAACAGCAAUUGGUCACGGGUGACUCGAUCCUAAGACAUGGGGGAAGUCCCUGUUAAGUGCGCGCUUGCGCGUGGUCGAAAGGGAAUGAGGUUAAUAUUCCUCAAGCUGGAUGUGGAUGUUGUAUGGUAACAUAAGUGAGCCUGGGAACGCCGGCACGAGCCUCUGGAAGAGUUAUCUUUUCUUUUUAACAGGCCAGCGGCCCUGAAAUGGGAUUAUCCCGAGAUAGGGCGGCAAGUCUGGAAGAGCGCUUCGCUUUCCGAAGCGUCAGGUGCGCUCGUGACGGUCCAUGAAAACCCAGGUGAGAUAGUUUCGCACCAGGUCGUACCCAUAACCGCAUCAGGUCUCCAAGG